AUUGAACGCUGGCGGCAUGCCUUACACAUGCAAGUCGAACGGUAACGCGGGGCAACCUGGCGACGAGUGGCGAACGGGUGAGUAACGCAUCGGAACGUGCCCAGUAGUGGGGGGUAGCCCGGCGAAAGCCGGAUUAAUACCGCAUACGACCUAGGGGUGAAAGCGGGGGACCGUAAGGCCUCGCGCAAUUGGAGCGGCCGAUGUCAGAUUAGGUAGUUGGUGGGGUAAAGGCCUACCAAGCCGACGCUCUGUAGCUGGUCUGAGAGGACGACCAGCCACACUGGGACUGAGACACGGCCCAGACUCCUACGGGAGGCAGCAGUGGGGAAUUUUGGACAAUGGGCGCAAGCCUGAUCCAGCCAUGCCGCGUGCGGGAAGAAGGCCUUCGGGUUGUAAACCGCUUUUGUCAGGGAAGAAACGCUCUGGGCUAAUACCCCGGGGUAAUGACGGUACCUGAAGAAUAAGCACCGGCUAACUACGUGCCAGCAGCCGCCGUAACAC
rnacentral:rRNA from 1 species